ensembl:lncRNA
GACAAAGGGAAAACGCUAGUCUCUUUUUCACCCUUUCAAAAUGACUAUGUCAGUGUAAGAAAAAAUGUAUUGCAGCCAUUCAUUAGCAGGGCCAGGAGGGUCUCUUCCCAGCCCAGAAUCCCUGUCUGGACAGACCUUACCAUUAGACUUCUGCUGUUGUCACUCCUGCUGCCGGUGUCAGCCCACACUAACUGCCUGUGUUUAAAUUUUUGCCCAAGUAGCAGUGCCUAUCUGUAAGUACAUUUUCUCUUCACCCAUCUGGUAGAAGUAGGGACACCUAGAGGAUCUCUAAUCAGUGGAAUGCUUUUGUUUAUGAAUACACAGAGCAUGUCCUCUUAAUGAGUGAUCUGUUAUUAUAAUGAAAGGUAAACACUUGGCUGAAAGACUGAGAAAGAAAAUUGCCAAAGCAACAUGUUAACAGUUUAGCUUUUCCUAUUUUUUUUUGCAAAAUCUUUAUUUUAUGUGCAUUGGUGUUUUUGCCUGCAUGUAUGUCUACGUGAGAGUUUGUGUCCCCUAGAUUGGCAUACCAGACAGUUGUGAGCUGCCAUGUGGUUUCAGGGAAACAGAGCAGCCAGUGCUCUUAACUACUGAGACCUCUCAGGUACAGAGGAUGAAUACCAGAUACAGAGAUAGCCAGGAAUGAGUGCAGGGCACACAGACCCAAGGAGGGAGCACAGGGAGAUGAGUACAGCCAGCAUCAGCUCAUGGACUGCUCCCAGUUAACAUUCCUACUGUAUGGGGAAAGGGAACCAUACACAGGGCCAGCCAGUCACACCAGACCAGACCCUGCCUUGUAUCAUAGAUAGCAUCCUGGGGGAGGUCUGGCAUCGGCAGAAGCACUAGCAAUGGUUAGCUCUUGGGGAAAAAACUACAAGGAAAGAGACUGGAGCCUUGUUCCAAAUAUUCUGCUAACAUGUUUUUAUUUCAUAUUGUCAUAUUUCACACUGCCUGGUACUUCCAUGCCUUUUGUGUUUGCACCAAUAGGCUGAGUUGACAGUUCCGGGAAAUUCAUUCUAUUCCCAGGUUGCACAGAUGGAAGACUUCCCAAAAAAAAAGCAGAUUCCAAAGCCCAGAUGAUAAAACACGGAAGGGCAGUCUUCCCGCAAGGAUGCAGGGAGACAUCGAAGAAGAAAACGGUGUUAGGUACCAAUGAGCCCUUUACAACGCUGCACAAAAAAGAGAUAAUAGGAAGAAUCAAGAGCACCCAUGCGGGGAUUGGGAACAGAGGACGGCUGAAGGGCGAGGCCAGGACUCCAAAGUUGAGCGACUCCCACCACAGGAACAGAUCUCGACUGCUCGAGUGCAACGAAGCCCAUGAAAGAAGGUGCGUGGGUGGCGUUCUAAAGAGACGCGAGGCCCAGACAACCAAUCAGAAAGGAAUUCCAAGAAGACUGGAAUCUCAAGUAAGGUUUCAAACAAAGCUCGAAAAAGAAAUUUCAGCUGAAGCCCUUUGGUGUGAACCAACACCACCAGUUUGCAGAAAUCCGGAAUCCCUCAUGAGGAAAAAUGUGGAAGGCAUACUGAAGAGACAGGAUUCACUUGAGGAAUAGCCACCGGCCACACAGAACCCCCAAGAAUGGUGUGCUGCUCCACCUCCUUGCCCUCUGCAACCCCAGCCAGAUGCACCUCCUCCUGCUACAAUUUAAGCCCCGCCAGAGGCACCUCCUGCUCCACCACGUGGGCCAUAGGGGCUUCCACUGUGAUCUUCAGGUUCAAGCUGUGUCUCUGCCCUCACCCCGGUGGAACAUGGUUACAAAAUCCAUUUCCUCUAGACAUCUUCGUUUUCUGCUAUUCAGAAGUUUGCCGUUAUUAGACUUCCCUGCCACAAACUACAUCUUCCCAAUUUUUCUCUGUAAGCCAAUACGUAUUAUAGACUCCAAUGAAGAAAGACAGUGUUCUCAGAAAUAAAAUGUCUUUACUAAAUAUCUAAUAACAUCCUUUGGCAGUGUUCUGUCUCUAGCUCACCUAGUUGACCUUAUGACCUUGAUGGCUGCAAAUGCUUUAUGAUCCACCAAAAAAAAAAAAAAAAAAAACCCAUAGGAAAUAAAGUCAGACCUCCUGCAACCAAGCAGUUUAUGACAGAAAGUGUCCAUGUAAGCACAAUCAUUUUAUUAAGAAUCAGUAUUAAAAUGUGUCCAAAAGUAGUUUAAAUGCAC